AUCAGGAGAUCGUGCGUUUUAUUUUGAACGCAUCACUGGCGGGAAAAUCGAUAACGCUCUUUCUCUUCAGGGUUAAAAUAAACGGUAACGAUCAGAAAAGCGCGUGUGAUCCGCGAAGAUGUGUCCUGCAGGAGGCGCUGCAGCUGGAGUCAGAGAGACGCAUCACAGCUGAAGAAGACCAGGAGAGAUCACAGCUCUGCUCUCUUUCAUUCAGCUCUCAAGUGGUAAUCUCCAGACCGAUGGAUGUCCUUCUGCGUGGAGUUGUGGGGGAUAAACUGUGCUGUCUGUAGAACAGAAGAUGUGUUUUCCAGUACUGCUGACUACAAUCUUUUUAAAGCACUGUGCGUGAUCAGAUCGAAUCCUUCUGUAAAUGUAAUAUCGGUGUGUAUUCUCUUGAUUGUGUUGAGCAGUAUGGCGUGUACAUCUUCUGACAGACGCGGUCCUGAACUACACAAGCUCCUGGACUUUACUGAAAGAGUUGCUGUAGAGUCAGAAAUGCGUAGAUUCGUUUGGUGUCUUUCAUUUAAACUAAACUGAAAACCUCUGUAGGCCAAUCAGUUCAUUUCGUAAGUGAUAAAUUAGUGUAUAUGAACAGUUUAAUAAAUGUUAUUGUCUUAGAUCACAGGUCUGUAUAAGGACAGCAGUAACGUGUGUGUGUGUGUGUGUGUGUGUUUCAGUCUGAACUCUCGAAUCACAGAUUAGGUUUAAAUAGAAACUCUUAAUUAAAAGGCUUUUUUAGUUGUGUACUCUGUCUGAUUUAUGAGUAAUGAAUCACAGUUCUUCUGAUCGUGCCAGUGCUUGUGAAACGUUCAAGCUCCGUGUUCUCUGAUGUGUUCUGCUUCACUGAUGCUCAAUAGCUCCGUCUCUUCUCCUGAUAAACCUUCCCUUCGUCCGUGUUAGGACUCCGAGCUCUACCUCUUGCCUUCGGUGGAUUUGUGCAGAUUCAUUCAGUUCGUCACAGCAAGACUAAUAUUGUGAAAAAUGUGAUUGUAAUCCACAAACACACGACGCUUCCUUCAUCUCUGCCCUGAUCUCAGAGUUGUGUGACAGAAUACAUUGCUUAAUGAUUGUG